UACGGAGGGGGCGAGCGUUAUUCGGAAUUAUUGGGCGUAAAGGGCGCGUAGGCGGCUGUACAAGUCAAAGGUGAAAUCCCUCGGCUCAACUGAGGAACUGCCUUUGAAACUGUACGGCUUGAGGCCGGGAGGGGGUAGCGGAAUUCCCAGUGUAGCGGUGAAAUGCGUAGAUACUGGGAGGAACACCAGUGGCGAAGGCGGCUACCUGGACCGGUUCUGACGCUGAGGCGCGAAAGCAUGGGGAGCGAACAGG
rnacentral:rRNA from 1 species